rnacentral:rRNA from 1 species
CAGUAGCCGCGGGAACACAGAGGGUGCGAGCGUUAAUCGGAUUUACUGGGCGUAAAGCGUGCGUAGGCGGCUUCUUAAGUCGGAUGUGAAAUCCCUGAGCUUAACUUAGGAAUUGCAUUCGAUACUGGGAAGCUAGAGUAUGGGAGAGGAUGGUAGAAUUCCAGGUGUAGCGGUGAAAUGCGUAGAGAUCUGGAGGAAUACCGAUGGCGAAGGCAGCCAUCUGGCCUAAUACUGACGCUGAGGUACGAAAGCAUGGGGAGCGAACAGGAUUAGAUACCCCUGUAGUCCCUGUCUCUUUACA